AAAAUAGAAAAGUAGAAGCUGCACUCACGGUCUUAGUAUCAAAGUAGAAAAAGAAGUUUUAUUCCAUGUGUCACAAACGACGUUUUGGUCCGCACAGGGACCUUCCUCAGGAUAAAGUGAAGCACCUUAAAGUGCUUCAAUUUAUCCUGAGGAAGGUCCCUAUGUGGACCGAAACGUCGUUUGUGAAACAUGGAAUAAAACUUCUUUUUCUACUUUGAUAGUAAGACCGUGAGUGCAGCUUCUACUUUUCUAUUU